CUCCCACGACUGGAUUCGUAAAGCUCNGUUUGUAAGAGAAGAACGAGUGUGAGAUGGGAAAGUUCACGUUUCGACGGAUCAACNGAAGCACGCUACAUGCAGCAGCGCGAUANGUGCAGCGUAUCGAUAUGCAGANNGNGNUANNNNNNANCUGCCUAUCCCUGUGUGCUUGGAAACUGGGAGACUUGAGUGCAGAAGAGGAGAGUGGAACUCCAUGUGUAGCGGUGAAAUGCGUAGAUAUAUGGAAGAACACCAGUGGCGAAAGCGGCUCUCUGGUCUGUAACUGACGCUGAGGUUCUAAAUCGUGGGUAGCAAACAGGAUUAGAUACCCUGGUAGUCCACGCCGUCGACGCGGCCG
rnacentral:rRNA from 1 species